AUAAUUUCUCCAAAAUAAUGAUGGCCAAAUCACGCCUAAGCUACCAGUGAAUUGCCGUCUUAAAUCAGAUGCGCAAACACCCCCCACCUCCCCCCUGCCCCGGAUGCGCUGACGCAAAGCUUUUAACUUUUGUCCGCAAGUGGGAUAAGACGCCAUAUUUUUUGCAAUCCCUUUAAUAUCAAGAGAUCGACCGCCGAUGGCGGUUGCCGGAGCGGGUUUCCUGGAACCGGUGCUGCUAUUCGUGGUGGUGCUCCUGGCUGUGCACGUCUUCGGUCUGGUUUACUUCUUGUUCAAAUUAGGCACGCAGAAGCCUCCAGAUCGUAGGAAGAUACAUUAGGGUUUAGAUGGUGAGUUCGAUAACUAAAUCCCCCUUUUUUCUUUCAUCGAAUUAGCUCUGUAUCAUGAUUUUUACUGAGAAAAGAUGAACAUCUUUUGAGAGGUUGAUGCUAAUUAUGUUGGAGCUAAAAGGUUUCCAGUGUGGAUGAUGAAGAUUUUAAUUACUGUUCUCGAUGUCUUGUUAGCAUUCUUCCUUCAAUCGAGAUUUGUUGCGACAGUUCAGGACCAUUUUUUUAUGGUAAAUGGCUGAUCAUUGGUGCUUCCAUGUUGAUAUAUUAUCUAACUCGUUGAUACAAAAAACUCAUUUGAGAAAGCAGAUUAUAUCUCAGUUUUAUUUGAACUUUGUAUGAUGGUUGUACUAUUGAAUAGAGUUUAAGAUAUGUUGAGUUAGUUUCUAGAUGGUUAAUGAAUGAACAAAAACAAACUUCAUAUAUGAUACUUGUGGUUAAUGGAAUGAUUCACACAAAAGUUAUAUUGUU